rnacentral:misc_RNA from 1 species
AUUGAUAUUGGCGUGCGCACACUGCAAGAUCAUGGCAAGCAAAAUUUCAUUAUAAGGGAAUGAAAUAAGUGUGCACACAUGCGUGCACACACAUCUACGUAUAGCGUGAACAAUGCAAGCAGACAUCCAAGGUAUGAUGGCUUGACUGAUUAUUACAUACAGGGCAUGCAUUAUGAUGUAUAUACCAAUAUGACCUCUGAACAACUAGUAUGCAUAUGUGACC